AGGGUUCGAUCCUGGCUCAGGAUGAACGCUGGCGGCGUGCUUAACACAUGCAAGUCGAACGAACCUUCGGGUUAGUGGCGGACGGGUGAGUAACGCGUGAGAAUCUGCCCUCAGGAGGGGGAUAACGGUUGGAAACGACCGCUAAUACCCCAUAUGCCUACUGGUGAAAUGAAUUUCGCCUGAGGAUGAGCUCGCGUCUGAUUAGCUAGUUGGUGAGGUAAUGGCUCACCAAGGCUUCGAUCAGUAGCUGGUCUGAGAGGAUGAUCAGCCACACUGGGACUGAGACACGGCCCAGACUCCUACGGGAGGCAGCAGUGGGGAAUUUUCCGCAAUGGGCGAAAGCCUGACGGAGCAACGCCGCGUGAGGGACGAGGGCCUCUGGGCUGUAAACCUCUUUUCUCAAGGAAGAAGAUAUGACGGUACUUGAGGAAUAAGCCACGGCUAAUUCCGUGCCAGCCGCCGCGGUAAUAC
rnacentral:rRNA from 1 species